rnacentral:lncRNA from 1 species
UCAAGCGUUAUUUAUAAUUAGUUAAAUUUGAAUCUUUUAAAUAAGCUAAACAAAUAUAGACUAAUCUAUAAAAGAUUUUGGAUAAAUUGACUUCUAAGUCUUGAAAGUAGAUGCCCUAUUACAUGUGAUAAAACAAUUACUAAUGAGAUAGAGGAAAGACUCUAAGUGAUUAAGCUAAACUUUACUGAUAAUUCUAUUCUAAGUGUGAAUUUCAACAUAGCAAUUAUAGAAGAGCUAAAAUAGAAUAAAUGAUAAACAAAAUAGAGGAAAGAUGGCAUAGGCAUCCCUAGGCGAUUUUUUGCUUGUUUUCUUCUUUUCUUAUGUGCUUAAUGAAGAUAGGAUGUGAUGACUCCCUGCAAGCGGGAAGUGUUUUGCACUAAGGCUUCACAUGGCUUUUGUUGGGCAAUAAAACUGAGGCUUGGAGGUUCAGAUCUACCCUUAUGUAUUUCGAAAUUGAAGCUUCAGAGAGAUAGAAUAUAAAGGUUGAAAGUAUAAAUAUGAUUUUUUUCGAGAUUCCAGGAUGUCUUCCUCGUCUGAAGACUUUGGGGAGUAUCUAUAG